GGGCUUACAUUCUUUUUAAAAAAAAAUCUCGAGCUUAUAAUAUUUUUAAAAAACCUUCUUUUGCAAAAAAGAUAUUCUCAGCCUUGUGCCUAGAAGUCCGUCAAAUUUAUGACGCCACAAUUUUGCUGUAACACGGCUUAAUAAGAUUAGCCGUUGUGGAAUAUAAACUUACCUACCCCAUCUAGCUGCCAUCGUCUUUUCCUACCCAGUACGCACC
rnacentral:lncRNA from 1 species